AAAGCUUACAUCUCUUCGGAGCAUUUUACGAGGUGCUGCAUGGUUGUCGUCAGCUCGUGCCGUGAGGUGUCGGGUAAGUCCCAUAACGAGCGCAACCCUACCUUUAGUUGCCAUCAGGUAAUGCUGGGGACUCUAAAGGAACUGCCUACGCAAGUAGUGAGGAAGCGGGGAUGACGUCAAAUCAGCACGGCCCUUACGUCCAGGGCUACACACGUGCUACAAUGGCCGAUACAGAGGGCAGCUACCUGGUGACAGGAUGCAAAUCUCCAAAGUCGGUCUCAGUUCGGAUCGGAGUCUGCAACCCGACUCCGUGAAGUUGGAUUCGCUAGUAAUCGCGCAUCAGCCAUGGCGCGGUGAAUACGUUCCCGGGCCUU
rnacentral:rRNA from 1 species